GUAAAUAGAACAUGUUCUCGAAAUGCAGUACCACAUCCUAAUCAAUCAGUCACCGAUCAAGUGACUCUCUGUAUGAGGUGAUAGAUGACAUAAUUUAAUGAUUUUGCAAAGGGAAUAUUUUCAAUUUAAUUCUAUAAUAUAUAAAGUAAACAGCUUCCAGAUUACUGUUUAUACCAUUCAUAACACAAAAGAGAUCAAUUA